UACGUAGGGGGCGAGCGUUGUCCGGAUUCAUUGGGCGUAAAGAGCUCGUAGGCGGCUCACUAAGUCGAUUGUGAAAACUCCAGGCUCAACCUGGAGCCUGCACUCGAUACUGGUGUGGCUAGAGUCCGGUAGGGGACCACGGAAUUCCUGGUGUAGCGGUGAAAUGCGCAGAUAUCAGGAGGAACACCGGUGGCGAAGGCGGUGGUCUGGGCCGGCACUGACGCUGAGGAGCGAAAGCGUGGGGAGCGAACAGG
rnacentral:rRNA from 1 species